rnacentral:rRNA from 1 species
UGGGGGAUAUUGCACAAUGGGGGAAACCCUGAUGCAGCGACGCCGCGUGGAGGAAGAAGGUUUUCGGAUUGUAAACUCCUGUCGUUAGGGACGAUAAUGACGGUACCUAACAAGAAAGCACCGGCUAACUACGUGCCAGCAGCCGCGGUAAAACGUAGGUCACAAGCGUUGUCCGGAAUUACUGGGUGUAAAGGGAGCGCAGGCGGGAAGACAAGUUGGAAGUGAAAUCUAUGGGCUCAACCCAUAAACUGCUUUCAAAACUGUUUUUCUUGAGUAGUGCAGAGGUAGGCGGAAUUCCCGGUGUAGCGGUGGAAUGCGUAGAUAUCGGGAGGAACACCAGUGGCGAAGGCGGCCUACUGGGCACCAACUGACGCUGAGGCUCGAAAGUGUGGGUAGCAAACAGGAUUAGAUACCCUGGUAGUCCACACCGUAAACGAUGAUUACUAGGUGUUGGAGGAUUGACCCCUUCAGUGCCGCAGUUAACACAAUAAGUAAUCCACCUGGGGAGUACGACCGCAAGGUUGAAACUCAAAGGAAUUGACGGGGGCCCGCACAAGCAGUGGAGUAUGUGGUUUAAUUCGACGCAACGCGAAGAACCUUACCAAGUCUUGACAUCCUGCGACGAUGCUGGAAACAGUAUUUUCCUUCGGGACGCAGAGACAGGUGGUGCAUGGUUGUCGUCAGCUCGUGUCGUGAGAUGUUGGGUUAAGUCCCGCAACGAGCGCAACCCUUACUGUCAGUUACUACGCAAGAGGACUCUGGCAGGACUGCCGUUGACAAAACGGAGGAAGGUGGGGAUGACGUCAAAUCAUCAUGCCCUUUAUGACUUGGGCUACACACGUACUACAAUGGCGUUAAACAAAGAGAAGCAAGACCGCGAGGUGGAGCAAAACUCAGAAACAACGUCCCAGUUCGGACUGCAGGCUGCAACUCGCCUGCACGAAGUCGGAAUUGCUAGUAAUCGUGGAUCAGCAUGCCACGGUGAAUACGUUCCC